GCCAGUUUAGUGAUGGGAGGGAGUUCAGAUGUCAGAGUUACUUAAUCCCUUGGAGACAUCCAAGCAAAGGAUGCCUGCCCUGGAGCCAAAGAACAGUCAUGAUAACGAAGCUCCACUUACACCUCACUGGCAAAUCCUGUCUCCCUGAGAUGUAUAAAAUGCCUUUGAGGUUGCUAUUGCAGAAGAGGGACUGGAUUCAAAGUAGAGAUAAAGCAGAGAGAAGUCUAGCUGAAGGAUCAAUGGUCGGGUAUGCCUUCACCCCACCAACCAUACUGUGGAAGGAUGUCUGCUGUUCUCAUGUCAACUGUGCACAUCAGGAAGAAUGGAUUGCAUCCAAGAGAUUCCCCUGGAUGGCUAAGGGGCUCCCUUAAAGAGAAGACACUGGAGAUAUAGCCAGUUCUGUGAAGUGCUAACCGAGGGCCUACACAUGCUGAGGGGACACAGAGAGCGGAUGAGAAUGAAGUGGUACUAGUUCGCGUUCUCCAGAGAAAUAGCCAAUAAGAAGACAGGCACGUACAUGUAUAUGGAGAGGCACGGAGCAGGAGAGAAAAGGGAUAUAAGGAAUUUGCUCAUGUGAUUAUAGAGGCCGAGAAGCCCCCAUCCUACCAUCUGUUAACUGGAGAUCUAGGAGAGCUAAGUCACAAUGUCUGAAAGCCUGAGAACUAAGAGACUUGGUGCUGCACCUUUACGUUCAUGUCCCAGCUCAAAGCUAAGAAAGCAACCCUGGGGUGGCGACAGUUCAGGAGAGAUGCAGCGAAGGCAGCUGGUCAGAUCUGAUGCUCCCUUCACACUCCCGUUUCCACCAGCAAGUGUGAAAAUAGAGUCACCGAUCCUUCCUCAACUCUUCACCAUGGUUUUGACCUUGUCAUGACCAGUUAUUUUCUGGCUUAUCUCCACUAAUCUUGGGAGCCUCAGCACCAGCCCUGAGUUCAUAUCACACCACCAAAGUCUUUGACCUGGAAGAGCUUUAACUUCCUAAGCCUCCUGCUUCCACUGGGCAGCACUGGUACCCGGAGAAUCCUGUGUCCCUUGUCUACUCCAUCCUAUCAUUAAAAAUAAACCCGCUCCACUGCAGUCCCUUGAUGCUGAUUUCAGUAGACCUAUCAGCCUAUGUGUCUCUUGGCCCCCGGUGGCUUGGUACACAAUCAGGAUGAAAUGCUAGCCCUCCAAUUCAUCAAAGUCGUGGAGAAGUCUCAAGACCUCCACACUGAUCUUGGGUGUCCAAGUCUUUUCAGGUGCUUUCC